rnacentral:rRNA from 1 species
UGCGUAGGCGGAUUAAUAAGUCAGUGGUGAAAUCUUUCGGCUCAACCGAGAAACUGCCAUUGAUACUGUUAAUCUUGAGUUCGGUUGAGGUAGGCGGAAUGUGUAAUGUAGCGGUGAAAUGCUUAGAUAUUACACAGAACACCAAUUGCGUAGGAAGCUUACUAGACCGACACUGACGCUGAGGCACGAAAGCGUGGGGAGCGAACAGGAUUAGAUACCCUGGUAGUCC